rnacentral:rRNA from 1 species
GAGCAAACAGGAUUAGAUACCCUGGUAGUCCACGCCGUAAACGAUGUCGAUUUGGAGGUUGUGCCCUUGAGGCGUGGCUUCCGGAGCUAACGCGUUAAAUCGACCGCCUGGGGAGUACGGCCGCAAGGUUAAAACUCAAAUGAAUUGACGGGGGCCCGCACAAGCGGUGGAGCAUGUGGUUUAAUUCGAUGCAACGCGAAGAACCUUACCUGGUCUUGACAUCCACAGAACUUUCCAGAGAUGGAUUGGUGCCUUCGGGAACUGUGAGACAGGUGCUGCAUGGCUGUCGUCAGCUCGUGUUGUGAAAUGUUGGGUUAAGUCCCGCAACGAGCGCAACCCUUAUCCUUUGUUGCCAGCGGUCCGGCCGGGAACUCAAAGGAGACUGCCAGUGAUAAACUGGAGGAAGGUGGGGAUGACGUCAAGUCAUCAUGGCCCUUACGACCAGGGCUACACACGUGCUACAAUGGCAUAUACAAAGAGAAGCGACCUCGCGAGAGCAAGCGGACCUCAUAAAGUAUGUCGUAGUCCGGAUUGGAGUCUGCAACUCGACUCCAUGAAGUCGGAAUCGCUAGUAAUCGUAGAUCAG